GAUGAAGAACGUAGCGAAAUGCGAUAAGUAAUGUGAAUUGCAGAAUUCAGUGAAUCAUCGAAUCUUUGAACGCACAUUGCGCCCCUUGGUAUUCCGAGGGACAUGCCUGUUCGAGCGUCAUUAUAACCCCUCAAGCUCAGCUUGGUGUUGGGGCCUGCCGCACGGGCAGCCCUUAAAAUCAGUGGCGGUGCCAUCUGGCUCUAAGCGUAGUAAUUCUUCUCGCUAUAGAGUCCCGGUGGAUGCUUGCCAUUAACCCCCAAUUUUCUAUGGUUGACCUCGGAUCAGGUAGGGAUACCCGCUGAACUUAAGCAUAUCAAUAAGCGGAGGA
rnacentral:misc_RNA from 1 species